CAGUCGCCACGCUAAUACGGAGGGAGCUAGCGUUGUUCGGAAUUACUGGGCGUAAAGCGCGCGUAGGCGGUUACUCAAGUCAGAGGUGAAAGCCCGGGGCUCAACCCCGGAACUGCCUUUGAAACUAGGUGACUAGAAUCUUGGAGAGGUCAGUGGAAUUCCGAGUGUAGAGGUGAAAUUCGUAGAUAUUCGGAAGAACACCAGUGGCGAAGGCGACUGACUGGACAAGUAUUGACGCUGAGGUGCGAAAGCGUGGGGAGCAAACAGGAUUAGAUACCCCGGUAGUCCCUGUCUCUUAUAC
rnacentral:rRNA from 1 species